rnacentral:rRNA from 1 species
UGAGGAAUAUUGGUCAAUGGAUGAAAAUCUGAACCAGCCAAGUAGCGUGCAGGAUGACGGCCCUAUGGGUUGUAAACUGCUUUUAUGUGAGAAUAAAGUUAGGUAUGUAUACUUAUUUGCAUGUAUCACAUGAAUAAGGACCGGCUAAUUCCGUGCCAGCAGCCGCGGUAAUACGGAAGGUCCAGGCGUUAUCCGGAUUUAUUGGGUUUAAAGGGUGCGUAGGCCGUUUGAUAAGCGUGCUGUGAAAUAUAGUGGCUCAACCUCUAUCGUGCAGCGCGAACUGUUGAACUUGAGUGCGUAGUAGGUAGGCGGAAUUCGUGGUGUAGCGGUGAAAUGCUUAGAUAUCACGAAGAACUCCGAUUGCGAAGGCAGCUUACCGUAACGUUACUGACGCUUAAGCACGAAGGUGCGGGUAUCGAACAGGAUUAGAUACCCUGGUAGUCCGCACAGUAAACGAUGGAUGCUCGCUGUUGGCCUUUAUGGUCAGUGGCUUAGCGAAAGCGUUAAGCAUCCCACCUGGGGAGUACGCCGGCAACGGU